rnacentral:rRNA from 1 species
ACGGGAGGCAGCAGUGAGGAAUAUUGGUCAAUGGGCGGAAGCCUGAACCAGCCAAGUCGCGUGAAGGAUGAAGGUAUUAUGUAUUGUAAACUUCUUUAGACGUGGAGAAAUAAGGGGAUCGUGAUCCCUGAUGCUAGUAUACGUAGAAUAAGCAUCGGCUAAUUCCGUGCCAGCAGCCGCGGUAAUACGGAAGAUGCGAGCGUUAUCCGGAUUUAUUGGGUUUAAAGGGAGCGUAGGCGGCCUUUUAAGUCAGUGGUCAAAUGUCAGUGCCCAACACUGGCCUGCCAUUGAUACUGGAGGGCUUGAAUACACACAAGGAAGGUGGAAUUCGUCGUGUAGCGGUGAAAUGCUUAGAUAUGACGAAGAACUCCGAUUGCGAAGGCAGCCUUCUGGAGUGCGAUUGACGCUGAGGCUCGAAAGCGCGGGUAUCAAACAGGAUUAGAUACCCUGGUA